UGUGUUAAACGCUUGGUCCCAGCU
rnacentral:piRNA from 1 species